ACCUCAGGAGCGUUCGUCUGGAC
rnacentral:siRNA from 1 species